rnacentral:rRNA from 1 species
CGUGUAGGCGGCUGGAUAAGUCAGAUGUGAAAGCCCUGGGCUUAACCCAGGAAGUGCAUUUGAAACUGUUCAGCUUGAGUAAGGGAGAGGAAAGUGGAAUUCCUGGUGUAGAGGUGAAAUUCGUAGAUAUCAGGAGGAACACCGGUGGCGAAGGCGACUUUCUGGCCCUAUACUGACGCUGAGACGCGAGAGCGUGGGUAGCAAACA